UACGGAGGGUGCGAGCGUUGUCCGGAAUCACUGGGCGUAAAGGGCGCGUAGGCGGCCUGGUAGGUAGGGGGUGAAAUCCUGCGGCUUAACCGCAGGGCUGCCUUCUAAACUGUCAGGCUCGAGCACAGUAGAGGCAGGUGGAAUUCCCGGAGUAGCGGUGGAAUGCGUAGAGAUCGGGAGGAACACCCGUAGCGAAGGCGGCCGACCGGACCAUUCCUGACGCUGAGGCGCGAAGGCCAGGGGAGCGAACGGG
rnacentral:rRNA from 1 species